AUAAAUAAAUAAAUCUUUAAAAAAAAAAAGAAAAAACAAAAACAGAGAUACAAGAAGGUCAGGUGACUUGAGUAAAGUCUCACCAUAGUUGGUACUUUCCAAAAAACAGUUUAUUUAUUUUUAUUUUUAUGUGUCUGAGUGGUUUUCCUGCAUGUACGUCUAUGCACCACACGCAUGCCUGGAGCCUACAGAUGGCAGAAGAUGCCAUCAAAUCUCUUGGAGGCAGAGCACUGAAUGGCUGUAAGACCACAUGUGAGUGUUUGGAACCGAACCCUGGUCUCCUGCAAGAACAACGAAUACUCUUAACCCCUGAGCCCUCCUUCCAGCUCUCACUUUGUGCUCUCGUGCCUUGUGGAGCCACCAGUCCUUCCAAGUUGGUCAGGUGAUGUCUGCUGAGCACCUGUUGCAGGUACCAUGUGAAACAGUGGAGAAAGGUGUAGCGCAGAAUAAGGGCAAAGUAAAUGUACAAAUGCAAGAGUCAAUCUGAGGGCAGCAUAGCGGCUCUGUCCAUUCAUGGGACUCCCCGUCUCCUGAAUCUCAUUGCCCACGCCCCUCUCCAGUCCACUCGAUGACACCAAGCAGGUGCUAGAUCAGAGUGUUCUAAGAUGCAGAUCUACUGUAAAAGGGGCCAAAAGUCAAAGGCCCCUGGAGGAGACGAAGAGGGGCAGAUGGACAAUGGGUGAACUGGAAAUAUGACAGCAACCAUCUUGUACUUUUACCCAAAGAGAAAAUCAAAUCUGAUGGCUCUCCAUCAGCAAAUGGCAGCAGAAGGCAGAUGCAUAAUUUCACGAGAACAUUCCUUUCCUCUGCUUAUUAGAUUAGCCGACCUAACAAGGCACUCUCUUCCUCUCAACACCAGACAACGAGAUGCAUCUCAACCGUGCCAGGAGUGGAUGCUGCUGGUUUCCAUUUGCUUUGGUGUCAUUAGCGAUACCUAAAUAGCUCACACUUAGCCAAUAAUUAUUGUGCUGGACCCUGGAGGGAAAGCAGAGCUUGAGCCUCCCCGCCUGGGGAAGAGAGAUUCAGAGUGAUCACAGCUGUAUGAGACACACCUAGAGCUCUGCCUGGAGCCAGGGAAACCAUUUCCAAGCCUGCAGCUAGCCCAGGACGUGGUACCCAGAAGGAUUUGGAAAGGUGAGGAGAAGAAACCAGCUACCUUUGAACAAAUGUAGAGAAGAGCAGACACUGAGGACCCUCCAGCUGGGAGUGGCCACACAGUGAGAGGCGCAGAAUACGGGGGCUGCAGGCUGGGGUUCUGGGCUUGGUGAGUGUGGUGGUACAUGUAGCUCCUACAUAGAUGUGUGCAUGUGUGCAUGCAUGUGUGUGCGUGUUUGCUGCUGAGAUAGGUAGCUGGGAAUGGAUUUUGCAGGCUGUUACAUGUCACUCUAUUUGUUCUCUAUAACACGUAUGACACAUGGUGGUGCCAUGAGCGGACAGUAGCAUUGGAACAUUCCUCCACUCUGAUGGCAACCUGGAAAGGACUUUGAGGGGAAGGAAGGAAACGGGAAGACUACAGAGGAGGCCAGUGUGAGUGUACAAAGGGGAACUCUAUAAUAUCCAGGAGUCACACCCAGGAGGGGCCCUGUGCAAUCCCAGAUGCUGACAAUGGAGCGGGUGGGAGGAGGCCACCUGGGAUGGGACAGAGAUUGGUGAGUUCAGUUCAUUCACACUGAGUAUGUGACUUGGAAGGACUUUUUCUUGGCUGUGCGUUUAGCAGCUGACUAUGUGUGUGGCUUGUGGGAUUGCUUGGAGCAGAGACACCAGGCAGUGUGGUGGGGGAGCAGCAGAACUCCACCCUUUCCAUUUGAACACUGUACUUUCUGAUUCCAAAAUCUUUGGACACACAUGGCUGAAAGUGGUCAUUUAGACUUUUCGGUAAAAUGUUAUGAUGUAGGUAAAGUUCUUAUAAAAUAUGCAUUUCUGAAAAUGCUUGGAUAUUGAAUCAAAACACAGACAACCUCCAAAUGGAUUUUUUGGGAUCAAUAUUGAAAUCACACCUCUCUGCGUUUGCCAUUAUGUAAUCUAGUUAUAUAGUUUGAAUGAGAUGAAUUCCAUUAACGUGACCCAUGCUAGGCUUACUCAUUUUGGUCUCCGAGAGCCCCUCUCCUGUCCCCGCCUCAAGUGAACUUUUCUCUCGGGCUCUGCCAGGAUUUGACUUCAGGACUUUUCCUUGUCCAUGUUUCUUUCUUGUUUGCUUGUUUCUCCCACAGUGAGCUGGGACACGGGGCAGAAGCCACAUCCCAGACUAGCCCGGUGCCUGGAACACGGUGAGGAUAGAACACAACCUAUAGACACUGUUAUGGAAGAGCUACUUGAUUCAAACUGAUUAGACCAAUGAAUGUCAGUGCCAUAGAGAAGAAUGAUCAUUAACUUCUCACCAGUGCAGACCACAGGUACAUGCCACCAUGCUUGGCUUAAGUAGUGCUGGGGGAUCGAACCCAAGGCCUCACAUAUUCUAGGUAAGUUCUCUACCUGCUUAGCUGUGUCCCCUCCCUCACAUGUUCAAAUCUCGUGUUUGUAACACCCUUGGCAGAUACUUUUUUUUUUUUGAGAUCAGAAGCCAUGCAGAAUAGUUAACAGCUUGCUCAGGGUCACACAGCUGGCACCCUGUAGGCAGUUGGAUUUCAAAGUCCCUUUUGUUUUGUUGCUAUGCAAAUUACUGCCUUACAAUGGCCUCUCUGCCCAUCUCCCUGUAAAUGAACAACUUCCACUUAAUAUGGUGAGAUUGCCUUUGAAAGCAAUUAGGGAAGAUUUCUAGUUUGUGUUGACUUCUUACUGCAGGUUGAAGUUGAAAGGCACAGGAGGAACGUGUGAGUCUGAAGGACACUCAUUCAGGUGUGGUCAUUUGUGGCAGGACAGAAAGAGCUGACACCACUCAUCGUAGAAUGGGCCACUGUAAGUUCAGUCAUGUAAUUGGAAAGAGAAUCAAGCAUAUCUAAUAUUGAUAAUAAACUGUAGGCUAUGCAUUUCAGACAACCUAGAUAUUGUCUGAAAACAACCCAAUGGGUUUGAUUCCAGAAUCCAAGUUAACUCUUUUCCUUAAGGUUAAAAAAUUGUGUGUGUGUGUGUGUGUGUGUGUGUGUGUGUGUGUGUGUGUGUGUGUGUAAGGGACGUAUGUCCACAUGAAUGCAAGUUCCCACAGAGGAGAGAAGAUCACCUUGAAUUCCCAGGAGGGGAGCUGGUGCUAGAACACUGUAAGCCAUCCAAGGUGGGUGCUGGAAAACAAAAUCUGGCAUUCUGAAGGGGCAGCAUGCACUCUUGAACACAAAGUCCUUCAGAGUCAGCUUUUAAGUCAUUUUUAAUUGUGCAUGGUACCCUGCUCCAUGAGUGAUAUUUAGGAGCCUCUGCUCCCUGAGAACCCACACAGUUGAUGGGAUGGGCAUGCCACAACCUGAGCUUAACUUGCUGCGGUCACACAACAAAGGCAGUAUUUGACACCUUUUCCAGAUGCAGGAGCAGUCUUAGAGAUGUUAGAAAGUCUGUCCAAGGUCAACACAGCUACUCAGGAGUGAGAGCGCUAAGAUAGCUGACACCCAGCCCUUGUAAGGACACAUCUACUUGUAAGUGGAGAGAAACGUUUUCUUUCACUUCUACCCAACACCAGGCUUGGACGGUCAUUUCAAGGAACAGUGUUCCAACUGAACAACUACAUCUAACACGCAGGAGGGUUAGAGCUGAGGGACGAGCAUACUUAGCCUGCCUGGUGCUGUCAGAGAUGAAUGGGGUCACUCUGACAUCUCUUGUCACUUAUGAGGCCAGCUUUCAGUUCCCAAAGCGUUUCUGAGAGUGUCUGGGGAGGAACAGUGCCAAGGGAUAACGAUUUACACGUGAAGACAAAUCUUCAAAAUAGGCCAUAAAUACCACACAGAACUGCUUGGCCCCGCCUCCUCUUCUGUGGCCUUGGGUAAAGGCCUGACCCCAUACUGGAGUGUUCUUAUCUGCAGCAGGGGUGGUAGUAUCUGCUUGUGAAGGUUUGAUAUUUCAUAUCAUUCAAUAAACACCUCUGGCCACACUGUAUGUUUACAAAAGAUAAUUAUUAUUUUAAUUAUGUACCUGCAAGCUCCCCCUUCUGCCCACCCCUCUGAGGCCAGAAGAGGGCGUCAGAUUUCUGAACUUGGAGUCAUAGGCAGUCCUGAAUUGCAUUUUUCUGUGCAUACUGGUGCCAAACUCAGAUCUUCCUAUAAGACCAGUACCUGCUCUUAACUGUUGGGCCAUCCGUCGAGCCCCAACAAAGCUGGAGUGAUUAUCACUUGCUAGCCUGUGGCUCUCCUCAUCCCAUCUUCUGUUCCAGCUCACCCUUUUCUCUCAUCCAAUCUGCUAAGGGAGCCUUACAUAGUCCCACACUCAUUCUGGCACCAUUAUGUCCCUCCCUCCUCACCUUCUGAAGCCAUGGUGAUAUUUUAAAAGGAACUCUCAAAUCAUGUCAUUCCUCAUACAGGGCACACUGCUUCUGACAGAGUCUCGUGGUUGGCCAGGCCACUUAGCUUUCUCUCUGGGGGCCUGUGUGGGUUCAUUUGGUUCCCUAAAGCCUGUGUCCUCCUUGUCUUGAUCUGCAGUGGACUUCUUUCUCCCUCUUCAUGGCCAUUCAGUAACCCUAACCCCACAAGUGUCCCCUUCUUGUAUCGGAGUCUCCUGCCUGCUUCUCUCUCAUUCUGUGUCUCCUAUUUGCCCAUCUUCUGGGCCCUGCACAUUUCUUAGUUGCUUGGGGGUUUGUCUGAGAUGUACAGCCCCAUUGGGGCAAAGGUUGUCUGUUGCCUCAGUUCUCAUAUUAGUGCCUCCAAGUUAGAGUGUGCUCCGCGGACAUGUGUUGGGUGAGUUGUGUGUUAGUUACUGCUACAUGGCUGUGACUAAAAUUCCUGCAGACAGCUGAAGGAGGUAGGGCUUAGGUUUGUUCAUGGUUCCAGAGAGUUCGUAUACUAGUAUUUAUAGAGUAUCUCAUAGUUUCUGUAAUCAAACCCAAGUCAGAUAAGACCUGACAUCUUUAAUUCAGUGUGUUACCCCCGGACUCAUGCCCAUUUUAUUGGACAAAAUGGCAUACUGUUAUUAGGCAUGUAGGAUGGAGAAGAGUCUUCACACUGGACAGAAAGGAGACUGGAGAAGCAGAGACAACAUCCCCCUAAAGACCUGUCUCUAACUAUCUACUUCCUCCAAACAGCCCUCACUGCCUCAAGCCUCCAAAAUCUCUCAAAUGCUCACAAGCAGCUGGGGAGUUAGGCUUAAGAUAGCCUUGGGGAGAACGUCUCAUGUGCAAGGCCAGCAAGUGGGAAGAGGACUCAGUAGAGAAAGUGCCUGACACACAGGCAUGAGGACUUGGAUCCCCAGCGCUCAUGCUAAAGCUAGAUAUCAUGGCACGGGGGGUGGAAACUGGGAGAUUCCCAGAUCUCACUGGCCGGCCAGCCUAGCCAGUCGGUGAGCUCCAGGUUCAGUGAGAGAUGCUGUCCUAAAGUGAGUCAGAGAUUGACAGAUGAAGACACUGAUAUCUGGCCUCCAUAUGCAUGUGUGGACACACAUACAGGAGCAUCUGCUUAUAUGUAUAGAUGUAUAAACAUGUACACAUGCCACAAACACACACAUGCACAUUUACGAUGAAGAAUAAGAAAGAUAUAUCAAAUACAGUAACAGAUAAUAUCAAUAUUGUUACUGCCUUCCUGGUUUGAGGAGGGAGUACAAGUUAUCUGUACUCUAAAGUCAGUAACUAUCCAUCAAUAUCAACAAAAAUCCUGAGGAGAUAAGAUACUCUGAUCCUUAAAAAUUCUAUCAUUUAUAACCUAUUUGCUAUUUAGUUCAUGAAUGUGUGUACAUGUGUGUGUGUGUGUGUGUGUGUAUGUGUGUGUGUACACGUGCAUGCACAUAUAUGUUUAUAUAACACAUAAGUUAUAUAUAUUAUAUAGAUAUAUUCAGGGAAAUGUUUCUAAAUUGCUAGCAUUAAUGAAACAUUUAGCAAGUUGUUGGGAAGCCUCAAACCAACACACUUCCUUCCUUUGUUUGUUUGUAGAUAGAAUCUUAUGAGGUAACUCUGGCUGGCAUGGGGCUCAAACACCUUCUAAUCCUUGGAUACAUAGUCUUGAACUCCAGAAUGAGUGCGUCUGGUAUACGUGUUCCUUCCACAUACCAACUACCCUUGGAGAGAACUCAGGUCUGCCGAUUGGGUUUGUCUCCAGUUGAUUAAAAACAGCCAGCAUACCCACCAUGGACCACAUCCCCAUGGAAAUCUAUGAUACCCAGCUGUACUAGCACAUCCUAGAAAUCGAAGUAUAGUGUCACACUAUUGCUCAGACAUGAUAUAUGUGGACACUCUCCAUCCAAACUCACUGAGUGAAGUCUCUGUGGGUCACUGCCUGUCAUCCAGAGUUACUAUGGUAUACCAGGCAUUCUGCUAGGCGACUGAAAGGAAUCCACACAGACCUAACUUUGCUGUCCAGUGUUUAAAACACUUCAAUUUCUUAGCUCAUGUCUCAGGGGUCUUCCUUGCUCAAGGAAUCUUCCAUGUAUGGAAUUUUCUUCAGCUUGGUCCUUCUUAUCUUUGGAAUCAUUCUAUCACCCACCCACCUAUCAUCCAUCCAUUGUUCACUCAUUACUUAUUCAUCUGUUGUUCAUGCAUGCAUGCAUAAACACAUCCAUCAUCUACCUGUCCAUGUAGCAAUCCAUCAACCAUUCACCUCUCAAUCUAUUCGUGUUCACUUACCACCCAUGGAUGCCUCUCUUUAUCAUCCGGCCGCCAUCCAUUCCUCUACACAUGCCACUAUGAGCACUGUGAGCUCUAGUUCUUAGAUAUGCUUUCAAGAGGUCUUCAGCCUAGAACAGGCAAAUGUGAUGAGAGGCCUAGAGAUUUGACUCUGAGUAAAGUACCUGCUGUGAAAACAUGACCUGAGUUUGGAUACCUAGAACCUAUAUAGUCAGUCGGGGAACUAGACAUCUGUAAUACAGUGCUCUUUUGGUGAGAGAAUAGGCAGAGACACAGAGACAGGAGAGUCUCUGGAAGCUUGCAGCUCAACUAGCCCGAAAUAUACAACAGCAUACAACAAAUAGAUUCUGUUUCAAGUAAGGUAGAAAGCAAGGACCAAUAUCUAAGAUUAUCUUCUGGCUGCCAUAUAUAUGCCGUGGCAAGCAUAUGACCA
rnacentral:sRNA from 1 species